rnacentral:misc_RNA from 1 species
AUUGCAGAAAUCAACAGAUAUUUUCUUUAAAAUGUGAAUUAUUACAUGAAAUUAUUUCGCCAACUGUUUUAAAAAUUUGUAAUUGGCGAAUUUGGCGAGUGCCAGAGCUAGCCCUGUGAACUACAUUUUAACUAACAGUAACAGUGCACACAAAAGAUAAGGUAGCUUGUACAUUGUACAAACGUUUUAGUACCAGAUACCAAGGGCAAAAUAAGGGAUGGGUAUUUCCUCAAAGUCGACCAAUACACAAUGAUAUACGGUAACCAAACGUUUCUUCUUUUUCUUUUUGUUUUGCUUUUCAGUUUUUUUUGUUUGUUUGUUUGUUUUUUUAAUUUUAAUGGUGGGGUGGGUUGGGGCUGUGCAACCAUCCUCCUUUAAUUUUCACCCAGCAAGAUACUAUAUAGGUACAAUUUAAUGUCACCCUUGGAACACUUUUCAUGUCAUAUCAUCACCGAAAACUUGAGCGACUUCGUCUCAUAAACACCAGGUUCCAUUAAAUGUUAUCUUAUACUAGUAGUCCAUGAUUCCAUUUAUAAUAAAUUCUUGUUUAUUGAAGUUUAUUGACAUACAUUGAAGAAAUCCCAUGCCUCAACUGGGAUCCGAACCCAUUACCUACCAGCCUGUAGACCGAUGGCCUAACCACGACGUCACCGAGGCCGGUAGUAAUGCAAGAGAAUACACAAAUAAUACUUCACUAACAGUCGGACCUGUUAUCACACUUACAAAUAAUCCACCUGGUAAUUUAAAAUUAGCACUGAGUUAUCUCCCAUGUACAUAUAUUUCAGGUUGCUACAGUGGAUGAUCGAUGAAUUGUCUCCCAUUAAUUUGCAGAUCGAAUCGACUGUGGUGCUGGGAAGUUUGUCUAAAGGAACUGAUGAGAACAUUAACGCCAUUGUAGAUGCUGGAUGUGUAUCAGUCUUGUUGAAAGGUUUGUCCAACCCAAACUUGAAGUAUGUGGAAGUGUGUCUUAGAUGUCUGUGAACAAUUUUCAUGUGCAAUAAAACAGCUAUAGACCUAGUUUAUCAGCAAUGGGUUCCAGAUGCUGUGGUCCUAUAUUGGUGUUCGCCUCUGCUGAAUGGAUCGCAACAGACUGUGAAGACGCCUGGUGGCUGGAUGUUGAACCUUGAAGUCCAUGAGAUUCUCC